AGAUUGGAGGCUGCUAUGGUGACAAACACACAUGCACACACGCUGUAUGUAAUAAGACAGAACAGACUGCAGUCAUCACAUUCAGUUAUCACUCCUGAACAGCAACCUGAUCACAUGUGACUGUGCUUUUCCCUAAAUUGUCAUCAGCCUAAGGAACAUGUUGUUACAGCUACAUGGAAAUCUGUGCACAAUUUUAAAAUAGAUAUUUGGAACACCAAGAAGUUGGUGGAGUCACAGCAGUCUCUGAAUGAGCUUCCACUCUGCUCUGAACCUAACCAUGACACCAGUGUUGGUCUGGGGGGCUGGAGUUGCGUCUGCCUCGGCACUGCCCCUGCCACAGCUCCUUUGGGACUCACCAGUAUUCCCCAGUGCUCCCACACUGUCAGUUCAUCUGCUCAGGGUGGUCCUCAAAAAAAAAAAAAAAAA